rnacentral:rRNA from 1 species
UACAGAGGUCUCAAGCGUUGUUCGGAUUCAUUGGGCGUAAAGGGUGCGUAGGUGGCGAGGCAAGUCAGGUGUGAAAUCUCGGGGCUCAACCCCGAAACUGCACUUGAUAUUGCCUUGCUAGAGUACUGGAGAGGAGAUUGGAAUUUACGGUGUAGCAGUGAAAUGCGUAGAUAUCGUAAGGAAGACCAGUGGCGAAGGCGAAUCUCUGGACAGUUACUGACACUGAGGCAUGAAGGCCAGGGGAGCAAACGGG